rnacentral:rRNA from 1 species
AYGGYGGAGACCUAGGCACCCAGAGACGAUGAAGGGCGCAGAUACCGGCGAAACGCUUCGGGGAACUGGCAACGAGUUUUGAUCCGAAGAUCCCCGAAUAGGGCAACCUCAAGAACUACCUAUGAAUUCAUAAGUAGGAUAGAGACAACCCAGUGAAUUGAAACAUCUUAGUAACUGGCGGAAAAGAAAGCAAACGCGAUUCCCGUAGUAGCGGCGAGCGAACCGGGAACAGCCUAAACCUGUAAAAAGGGGUAGUGGGAAGACAUAUAUGCUCUUAGAAAAUAGCAAUUUUUAAAAAGUAUAAAAAAGCAAUAUAUUUUAUAUUGCGGUAUAAGUCUAUGUCCUUAUUAUAAAUCGUCUUUUAUAAAGACAACGUCUUUAUAAAUGCUAAUCGCAUUUAUAAGAUGGCUCUUUUUUAAAAAAGUGGGCGGAAUGUAGUAUUUAUAAACACUCGGAUGUGAAUGUUAAUGUGAAUGUUAAUGUGAAUGUUAAUGUGAAUGUUAAUGUGAAUGUUAAUGUGAAUGGGGUGUUUAUAAAAUGGCCAUAGAUGUAAACCUCGUAUUAAACGAAGCAGCUGAAUCCUGCACCAUAGAUGGUGAAAGUCCAGUAGUUGAAAACGAAAAAAAAGUCAUAUCCCGAGUAGCAUGGGACACGUGGAAUCCCGUGUGAAUCAGCGAGGACCACCUCGUAAGGCUAAAUACUCCUGGGUGACCGAUAGUGCAAAGUACCGCGAGGGAAUGGUUAAAAGAACCCCUGUAGGGGAGUGAAAUAGAACAUGAAACCGUAAGCUGACAAGCAGUGGGAGGCCCAAAAAGGAGGGCUGACCGCGUGCCUGUUGAAGAAUGAGUCUGCGACUUAUAGGGAGUGGCAAGGUUAAAGAAGAAAAUCUGGAGCCUUAGCGAAAGCGAGUCUUAAUAGGGCGCAUAAAAAAGUCACUUCUUAUGGACCCGAACCCGGGUGAUCUAUUCAUGGCCAGAAUGAAGCUAGGGUAAUACCUAGUGAAGGUUCGAACCGACCGAUGUUGAAAAAUCGGCGGAUGAGCUGUGAAUAGGGGAGAAAUUCCAAUCGAACUCGGAGCUAGCUGGAUCUCCCCGAAAUGCGUUGAGGCGCAGCGGUGGCUAUGAGCUAUCUAGAGGUAAAGCGACUGUUUCGAUGCGGGCUGCGAAAGCGGUACCAAGUCGUGGCAAACUCAGAAUACUAGAUAUAGCCUUCAGUCAACCAGUGAAACACGUCGGGAUAAGCUGAUGUGUUAAGAGGGAAACAGCCCAGAUCACCAGCUAAGGCCCCAAAAUGAGUUACUAAGUGGAGAAGGAUGUGAUGAUGCUAAAACAACCAGAAUAUUCGCUUAGAAGCAGCUACUAUUGAAAGAGUGCGUAAUAGCUCACUGGUAAAGCGUUGUUGCGCCGAAAAUGGCCGGGACUAAGUAACCUGCCGAAGCUGUGAUAUUUUUUAUAAAAUUGCAAAUGCGAUUCCUAAAGAAUAGGUAGGGGAGCGUUCCCUUAUCGGGUGAAGUUCUCACGGAAGUGGGGAUGGACGAAUGGGAAGUGAGAUUGUAGAUUUGAGUAACGAAAACAUUGGUGAGAAUCCAAUGCCCCGAAAACCUAAGGGUUCCUCCACUAGGUUCGUCCAUGGGGGGUGAGUCAGGUCCUAAGGCUAGUUCGAUAAAUCGAAGUCGUCGAUGGGAAACAGGUUAAUAUUCCUGUACUGAUUUUAUUGGGAACCAAGUGACGAAGGAGACUAAACAGAAACUGCUUCUGGAUUUCAGUGGAAGCAUUAAGGUGUUGAGAGCUAGAAUAAAAACUAUGCUUGAGCUGAGAUGUGAUCCCUCUAUUAUUGUGAUUUAUGCUUUCGGGUAUAUAUCCACGGUAAUGGAGUCUGUGAUGUCAAACUUCCAAGAAAAGCUUGAACACCUUAACAAUAAAAUUACCUGUACCUGAAACCGACACAGGUAGGUUGGUAGAGAAUACCAAGGGGCGCGAGAGAACUCUCUCUAAGGAACUCGGCAAACUGGCCCCGUAACUUCGGAAGAAGGGGCGCCCUUUUUAUUUUUUCUAUAAAAAAGGGUCGCAGUGACCAGGCUCAAGCAACUGUUUAUCAAAAACACAGGUCUCCGCAAAGUCGUAAGACGAUAUAUGGGGGCUGACGCCUGCCCAGUGCCGGAAGGUUAAGGAAGUUGGUUAUUGAGUAAUCAAGAAGCUGACGACCGAAGCCCCGGUGAACGGCGGCCGUAACUAUAACGGUCCUAAGGUAGCGAAAUUCAUUGCCAAGUAAGUUUUGGCCUGCACGAAAGGCGUAAUGAUUUGAGCGCUGUCUCGGAGAGAGACUCGGUGAAAUAGACUUGUCCCGUGAAGAUGCGGACUACCUACACUUGGACAGAAAGACCCUAUGAAGCUUGACUGUAUCCUGGAAUUGGGUUCGGGCUUUUCUUGCGCAGCCUAGGUGGGAGGCUUUGAAGAUUUCCUUCCGGGGAAGUUGGAGCCAUCAGUGAGAGACCACUCUGGAAGAGCUAGAAUCCUAAUGGUGAUCUUUGAAUCAAGACACUUGACAGUUUCAGGUGGGCAGUUUAUCUGGGGCGGAUGCCUCAUAAAGUGUAACUGAGGCGUGCAAUGGUUCUCUCAGUCUGGACGGAAAUCAGACAUUGAGUGCAAAGGCAAAAGAGAGCUUGACUGUAAGACCAACAAGUCGAGCAGGGGCGAAAGCCGGCCUUAGUGAUCCGACGGUGCCGAGUGGAAGGGCCGUCGCUCAACGGAUAAAAGUUACUCUAGGGAUAACAGGCUGAUCUUCCCCAAGAGUCCAUAUCGACGGGAAGGUUUGGCACCUCGAUGUCGGCUUGUCACAUCCUGGAGCGGCAGUACGUUCCAAGGGUUGGGCUGUUCGCCCAUUAAAGUGGUACAUGAGCUGGGUUCAAAACGUCGUGAGACAGUUCGGUCCAUAUCCG